GUUAAAGUUGGUGCUACAUGUAUACAGAUUCUUGUACCCAAACACCAUAAAAUAACAGUGCUUCCCUCAUUUUUAUAAUCUGAGCCAAAUAAAAAAAUAAAAUGCAUUAGAAAUAAAAAAAUAAAAAAAAAGGUGACUCGCCACCAAAGUACCAAGGCUUUCGAGGCUUGCAGCUCCCUGUUUCAAUGUUGUGACUGAUAAUUUAUUUUCCAUCAAAGUCGAACCUUCUCAGCUGAUCAUUGCUAUAUUUAAAUGCAUCAUCAACCUAGAUAAGCACAUAAAAUAGAGUUCAAAUACCCCUACUCAAGUGGUGCUUUGUAAAUUUAAAAAUUGAAAUAUGACAAAAUUAUUCCUACAAGGAAAAUACUUCCUAUACUGUCGAGUAGUAGACUAAAAUAUUUCUAUCAUAGUUAUUCAAAUUUAAAU
rnacentral:lncRNA from 1 species